rnacentral:lncRNA from 1 species
UUUACCCCUUGCAGUGUACUUAUUACACUGUAUUGGAAUCGCUUCUUUUCUCUUUCUCUGUGAAUUUCUUGAGAGCACAGACUACAUUCUGCUUAACUUUUUAUCCCCAGCUUUCAGCACAGUGCCUGGCUGCUUUGGCGUCUCCAAGUACCUGACCUCAGCUCAACCUGUCUUGGGUUUUCUUCUCCUCCCUGACAUUGACAACCCAGCCCUCCUAGGCACAGAGAGAUGGAGCUGAGUGUGGUUUUCCUGAAAUAAAGCUUGCAUUAUGAGAGGGAAUAAACAGAGGACCAAAGUGGAUGAGCCCUGCUGACCUUGAACACAAGAGGCAGCAUGCCAGGACCUUGCGUGAAGAGGCCUUUCUCACAGGGUGAAAAGCGCGCUUACCAGCCUGAGCCCUAGCGGCUCCAGCAAGAUGAACUUGGUACUGUGGAGAGAAGAGUGAUGGAGAAGGAAAGAGGAAGGGAGAUAAGGCCUCAGGGACUUCCAGGUACCUAUCCCAGGAAGACAGGCUGUCCAUAUGCUCGAAAUAUUCCUAGCACGACCUGUAACGAUUGUAUUUUGUACCAUUCUCCAGUUAGGUUAGUGACUGUGUAUGUUCCAUGUGUGACUGUAUACUCUUUCAGGUGGUAUGAGGCAUCAUGGCAGAAUGACGUGUGUAGGUUUUAUUCCUCUUCAUUAAAACAGUGAUUCAUCAGGUUAUGGGUGCACCAAAAUCUCACAGAUCACCACUAAAGAACUUAAUCAUGUAACCAAGCACCACCUGCUCCCCAAUAAUCUUUGGAAAUAAAAGAUUAAAAAAUAAAUUAAAAAAAUUAAAAACCAAAAUUCAUGUCUAAAAAAAAAAAACACACACACACAGUAAUUAAAAAUGGUGGUCAGGCUGGGUGUGGUGGCUCAUGCCUGUAAUCCCAGCACUUUGGGAGGCUGAGGCAGGCAGAUCACGAGGUCAAGAGCUCGAGAUCAUCCUGGCCAACAUGGUGAAACCCCAUCUCUACUAAAAUACAAAAAAAAAAAUUAGCUGGGCGUGGUGGCGGGCACCUGUAGUCCCAGCUACUCAGGAGGCUGAGGCAGGAGAAUUGCUUGAACGCGGGAGGCAGAGGUUGCAGUGAACCAAGAUCACACCACUGCACUCCCGCCUGGCAACAGAGUGAGGCUCCAUCUCAAAAAAAAGGUGGUCAAUGAGAUGAAGAAAAAGAUAAAAAAGCAAGGGGGUGGAAUAGGGACUGAUGAAGGCGUGCAUUUUCUACCAGUAUACACCAGACUGCAUUUCAGGAGGUUACACAAUAAGGUUUUAUCCACAAGAUGAAGUGAAACCCAGGGACUUUAAAAUGUCCACAUUUAUUUUAACACAUAGGUCAUUUAGGGGAAAGGAAUUGAGUUUCAAGAAAUUGAAACUUACGGGAUUGCUUAAAACCUUGUUGAUGGAAAUAGAGCUAGAAAAACUCCAUUGACCUGUCAAAUCAAUGAUGGCCAUUCAGUGGGUUUCAUCUCAAUAGUUUCUGGGGAGCAUUUUGUUAAACAUCCUGAGGAGCGGUGCCCCCAGUGGUCUGGAAAUUCUUUGAUUCUGAAUUUUCAAUCAAUUAACCUCCUUAAAAUCAUUUCCCCAGGAAGAUAUUUUUUAAAAAGUAGAGAGAUGAUGUGAUGUUUAAAACUGAGUGUCAACUUGAUUGGAUUGAGGGAUACAAAGUAUUGAUCCUGGGUGUGUCUGUGUGGGUGUUGCCAGAGGAGGUUAACAUUGGAGUCAGGGGGCUGGGAAAGGCAGCCCUUAAUCUGGUGGCAUAAUCUAAUCAGUUUCCAGAGAAUAUAAAGCAGGCAGAAAAACGUGAAAAGGAGAGACUGGCCUAGCUUCUCAGCCCACGUCUUUCUCCCGUGCUGAUGCUUCCUGCCCUCGAACAUCAGACUCCAAGUUCUUCAGUUUUGGGACUCAGACUGUCUCUCGUUGCUCCUCAGCUUGCAGACAGCCUAUUGUGGGACCUUGUGAUCAUGUAAGUUAAUACUUAAUAAACUCCUAUAUA